GCGGGUGCCUAUACAUGCAAGUCGAACGAACUCUGGUAUUGAUUGGUGCUUGCAUCAUGAUUUACAUUUGAGUGAGUGGCGAACUGGUGAGUAACACGUGGGAAACCUGCCCAGAAGCGGGGGAUAACACCUGGAAACAGAUGCUAAUACCGCAUAACAACUUGGACCGCAUGGUCCGAGCUUGAAAGAUGGCUUCGGCUAUCACUUUUGGAUGGUCCCGCGGCGUAUUAGCUAGAUGGUGGGGUAACGGCUCACCAUGGCAAUGAUACGUAGCCGACCUGAGAGGGUAAUCGGCCACAUUGGGACUGAGACACGGCCCAAACUCCUACGGGAGGCAGCAGUAGGGAAUCUUCCACAAUGGACGAAAGUCUGAUGGAGCAACGCCGCGUGAGUGAAGAAGGGUUUCGGCUCGUAAAACUCUGUUGUUAAAGAAGAACAUAUCUGAGAGUAACUGUUCAGGUAUUGACGGUAUUUAACCAGAAAGCCACGGCUAACUACGUGCCAGCAGCCGCGGUAAUACGUAGGUGGCAAGCGUUGUCCGGAUUUAUUGGGCGUAAAGCGAGCGCAGGCGGUUUUUUAAGUCUGAUGUGAAAGCCUUCGGCUCAACCGAAGAAGUGCAUCGGAAACUGGGAAACUUGAGUGCAGAAGAGGACAGUGGAACUCCAUGUGUAGCGGUGAAAUGCGUAGAUAUAUGGAAGAACACCAGUGGCGAAGGCGGCUGUCUGGUCUGUAACUGACGCUGAGGCUCGAAAGUAUGGGUAGCAAACAGGAUUAGAUACCCUGGUAGUCCAUACCGUAAACGAUGAAUGCUAAGUGUUGGAGGGUUUCCGCCCUUCAGUGCUGCAGCUAACGCAUUAAGCAUUCCGCCUGGGGAGUACGGCCGCAAGGCUGAAACUCAAAGGAAUUGACGGGGGCCCGCACAAGCGGUGGAGCAUGUGGUUUAAUUCGAAGCUACGCGAAGAACCUUACCAGGUCUUGACAUACUAUGCAAAUCUAAGAGAUUAGACGUUCCCUUCGGGGACAUGGAUACAGGUGGUGCAUGGUUGUCGUCAGCUCGUGUCGUGAGAUGUUGGGUUAAGUCCCGCAACGAGCGCAACCCUUAUUAUCAGUUGCCAGCAUUAAGUUGGGCACUCUGGUGAGACUGCCGGUGACAAACCGGAGGAAGGUGGGGAUGACGUCAAAUCAUCAUGCCCCUUAUGACCUGGGCUACACACGUGCUACAAUGGAUGGUACAACGAGUUGCGAACUCGCGAGAGUAAGCUAAUCUCUUAAAGCCAUUCUCAGUUCGGAUUGUAGGCUGCAACUCGCCUACAUGAAGUCGGAAUCGCUAGUAAUCGCGGAUCAGCAGCCU
rnacentral:rRNA from 1 species